rnacentral:rRNA from 1 species
AACGCCGCGUGAGUGAAGAAGGUUUUCGGAUCGUAAAGCUCUGUUGUAAGUCAAGAACGAGUGUGAGAGUGGAAAGUUCACACUGUGACGGUAGCUUACCAGAAAGGGACGGCUAACUACGUGCCAGCAGCCGCGGUAAUACGUAGGUCCCGAGCGUUGUCCGGAUUUAUUGGGCGUAAAGCGAGCGCAGGCGGUUUGAUAAGUCUGAAGUUAAAGGCUGUGGCUCAACCAUAGUUCGCUUUGGAAACUGUCAAACUUGAGUGCAGAAGGGGAGAGUGGAAUUCCAUGUGUAGCGGUGAAAUGCGUAGAUAUAUGGAGGAACACCGGUGGCGAAAGCGGCUCUCUGGUCUGUAACUGACGCUGAGGCUCGAAAGCGUGGGGAGCGAACAGGAUUAGAUACCCUGGUAGUCCACGCCGUAAACGAUGAGUGCUAGGUGUUGGAUCCUUUCCGGGAUUCAGUGCCGCAGCUAACGCGUUAAGCACUCCGCCUGGGGAGUACGACCGCAAGGUCGAAACUCAAAGGAAUUGACGGGGGCCCGCACAAGCGGUGGAGCAUGUGGUUUAAUUCGAAGCAACGCGAAGAACCUUACCAGGUCUUGACAUCCCGAUGCUAUUUCUAGAGAUAGAAAGUUACUUCGGUACAUCGGUGACAGGUGGUGCAUGGUUGUCGUCAGCUCGUGUC